CACUGAGCAAAAUUUUUUGGCCUUGCUUUUCAUUAAUAAUUUAGACAUGAGUAUCAACAAGUUUUGCUAGAAUAGCUCAAAUUCCAGAUGCUCUCCUGUUGAACCACACUCCAAAAACUUUUUGCUCUUCUCCUCAAGUGCUACUUUUGUUACUCCAGGUACUUGAGGUGGAACGGCGCAGCGUAUCAAUGCCCAGUUCAGGCCAUCAAAGAAAGGGUGUCUCUUAAUCUCAGCAGCACCUGUUUCUGUUCCCAAUCGAUUCUCGGGCUCCUUUACUAACAGCCCUCUGAUGAGAUCCCUUGCUUGAAAACUAACAAUCUGGCUGUCGGGAAAUCUGAGGUUCUGCAGGACGACGUUGGCCAAAGUUUCUUCAUUUCCAGCACCUUUAAAGGGUGUCUUACCAUAUAGAAGCUCGUAAAGGAAAACGCCUAGUGUCCACCAGUCAACAGCACUCCCAUGGCCCUCACCUUUGAUGAUCUCAGGAGCCAAG
rnacentral:misc_RNA from 1 species